rnacentral:rRNA from 1 species
GGGGACGUAACAAAGCGACCCAGGAAUGCUUGGGCGUGCCUCCACCCACGCCGGCGUCGGCGGGCGUAUUUCGCCUCACAGUAGGUCGCCGCGACCCGUUGCUUUUGGGGACGUCGAAGGCCCGGACGGAUUGGUACCCUACCGGCUGGGGAUGCGGCUUCGGCUUCUCCUCUUGUCCGGUGGGCGAAACCGCCGGUGUCCUGGCUGCCCUGCGACGGUCGUAGAGACGAGCCCUCCCCAUUCGUGGGGGGCGGCUCUCGCGGCGUGCAAAAGGUCGGUGAUCCACCCGACCCGUCUUGAAACACGGACCAAGGAGUCUAACAUGUGUGCGAGUCAGUGGGCGCACUAAACCCAGAGGCGUAAUGAAAGUGACACGGGUUCGGCUGUCGCCUCGUGUGGCAGCCGGACUCAGGGCCGAUCCCUCACCGGUUGCCCUCGCCUCUCUCUUCCGCGUCUCGGUACGCCGGGUGAGCUAUUUUCCCCGGCCAAUGCUGCGGGGCUCGGGGGGGAGGCGGGGUGCGAUGGUGUCCGUCAAAAAGAGCCUGCUGUUGCAGGGGGGCGCAGGCCCGGGACUUGCCAGGACGCCGCGAGACUGUCACUUUGCUGUGAGGCUCCAGGGCCGAUCAGCGGGUCAUGCGUGCAGUCGGCAAGUACCAUGAGCAGACAUGUUGGGACCCGAAAGAUGGUGAACUAUGCCUGGCCAGGAUGAAGCCAGAGGAAACUCUGGUGGAGGUCCGUAGCGAUUCUGACGUGCAAAUCGAUCGUCGGAGCUGGGUAUAGGGGCGA